CCGGUCUUAGUUUUUUUACUUGGUUGCAGGGUAUCCUGUGUAUGAACUCUCUCUGCGUCCGUAUAUGAACGUAAAACCCAAGGUAAAACCUUGACCAAAAAUGCAUAGAAAUGUUUACUCUGGAUGAAUAUGUACUGCAGCUGAACCAACUAAAUAUACAUUACUGCUACAACCAAGGACAUUAGGACUCUUAUGCAGUAGAAACAUGUUGGAUUGGAAUCUAAAUGUGAAUUUAAUGAGAAUACUUUAAUAAACAAAUUUGAAAACAUGGAAAGAGUUAACUACCAUCCUGCUUCAUAAGAAAGGUGAUAAAGAAGAGACAAAGGUGAUAAAGAGCACAGCUGUUUAUGAAGCUGACAAUCACCAAACACCUCAAUGACCAACAGCAGGGGAUGCAUUGUAUGCGGGGGGGGGGGCUAGUCUUGGGUGAAUUGUAAAUGUAAUACCGAUAUCAUUUGGAUAAUCAUCAUUAUCAUCAUCGUCGUUUAACGUCCACUUUCCAUGCUGGUAUGGGUUGGACGGUUUGACUGAGGACUGGCAAGCCAGAAGGCUGUACCAGGUUCCAAUCUGAUUAUGUUGAGAAAAGGUUUAAAUUUUGGAAAAAUUUUGUUAGUUAAUUGUUGAACUUACUUCCUAGCUGUCCACUUACAUUUUUAGAAAGUAACUGACCAUCAUCUCAAUAAAUUCCUAUAUUAAUAGUGUGGAAUUUAUUGUUAACUGAGCUGAAAGUAUAUGUUCCAAAAAAGGUUGAAAAUCCUGUGAAAUCACUCACAUGUAUUCUUAGAUCAAAGAAAUCUGUAUUAACUACAUAAGUCCUACUACUGUAAAAUGCUGAUUUACAUCAUGCAAAGGAAUGUGUGAACAAAGCACAAGCCACCAUCAUGCCACAAGUUUACCACUGCUGUCGAUCUCUGUCCAUCAGUUCAUACGAGGUCAUCCUGUUUCUGCCGACAUGGCACUCUCCUCUCGUCACCACUUCUCAACUGAUCACAGGUGACAGGACCCUGUACAAGUGUGCGUGUGUGUAUUUAUGUAUUAUUUCUGUCAUUGUGCUGCACACCCUCAAUGGUUUCAGCCAGGUUAGUAACAAAAGGGUUAAGAAUGAAGAGUUCAAUUCCCAUAUCUGGUAUUAGUUCGAAAUGCAAAAAAUAAAUAAAAAAUAAAUUCAUUCUAAAAUAUAGAUUCAAUUAUAUUGAAAUUAUUUAUUGAGUUACAGCAGAUAAUUAACUUUUCAAAGUUUUCUCAUUUAAAGAUAAUUAUUUUUCUUUAGUUUCAACAGAACAAAAUAUCCUUAUUCAUUUAUGUAUGUCAUGUUUAUUUCCAUUCACGGAUUUGACGAUCCACUACAAACUGACCGCGAGGCUCUUUAACAUUUGGAGGCAGUAAAGCAAGAUAGACUGGAGUGUCAGCACCUAACAAAGAGAUGCAGAUAAAAAGAUGAAAAUAAUGACACAAUAACACACGGAAAAAGAUAAAAGUAAUAACACAGAUCAUUAAAAUGGAAUGUGAAGUUAAGAAAAACAAGCAUUUUCGAUACCUGCUUUUUGCUUUUAAUCAAGGUUCUAAGGCCGCAG